AAGGUAAUCCACUGUGAAUAAGCACCUGCCUGGAUCACUGAGUGUAAUGCUAUAAUACAAUGGAAAGUACAACAGUAAUAGCACAGGAGCACAGUCUUAUGCCACAGCAAAUGAGAACAAACCCAAACACGGCAACCACAGACAACUCACCUUUGAAAAGCCACAAGCAUGCAGAGACCAGCAGAGCAAUACCCUUACUCCCACUGCCAACCCUUAAAUGAGGUCUGAGUAAGGAAGGCUCCUGGCUCCACCUCUUCCAUCACUCAGACUCUGGCCACGAUGCUGAUAAUUCGUAUUUGUUGAUAUUCCUCAGCAGCCGAACACAGAGUGUGCUCCAGACGGUACCCAGAUGUGAUCGGAGCCGAUACCCUCUUCCUGCUAACAGAGAAUUGCAAACCAUCACUACAGCGGCAGAGGAAUAACCUUUACGGUUCAUUAAAAUUCCACAGACUCUG